UAAAAGGCCCUUUUCAGGGCCCCUCACUUUUUCACCUAAAGAGCUG
rfam:Monodelphis domestica chromosome 2, whole genome shotgun sequence.